UACGUAGGGGGCAAGCGUUGUCCGGAUUUAUUGGGCGUAAAGAGCGUGUAGGCGGUUAGGUAGGUCCGUUGUGAAAACUCGAGGCUCAACCUCGAGACGCCGAUGGAAACCAUCUAACUAGAGUCCGGAAGAGGAGAAUGGAAUCCUGGUGUAGCGGUGAAAUGCGCAGAUAUCAGGAAGAACACCCGUGGCUAAGGCGGUUCUCUAGUACGGUACUGACGCUGAGACGCGAAAGCGUGGGAGCGAACAGG
rnacentral:rRNA from 1 species